UACGUAGGGGGCAAGCGUUGUCCGGAUUUAUUGGGCGUAAAGAGCGUGUAGGCGGCCAUACAGGUCAGCUGUGAAAACUCGAGGCUCAACCUCGAGACGUCGGUUGAAACCGUAUGGCUAGAGUCCGGAAGAGGAGAGUGGAAUUCCCGGUGUAGCGGUGAAAUGCGCAGAUAUCGGGAAGAACACCCGUGGCGAAGGCGGCUCUCUGGGACGGUACUGGCGCUGAGACGCGAAAGCGUGGGGAGCGAACAGG
rnacentral:rRNA from 1 species